rnacentral:rRNA from 1 species
UACGAGGGGGGAGAGCGUUGUUCGGAAUUAUUGGGCGUAAAGGGUGCGUAGGCGGUUUGGUAAGUCUUAUGUGAAAUCUACAGGCUCAACUUGUAGUCUGCAUGAGAAACUGCCGGGCUUGAGUAUGGGAGAGGUGAGUGGAAUUCCUGGUGUAGCGGUGAAAUGCGUAGAUAUCAGGAGGAACACCUGUGGCGAAAGCGGCUCACUGGACCAUAACUGACGCUGAUGCACGAAAGCUAGGGGAGCAAACAGG